UACGGGGGGGGCGAGCGUUGUUCGGAAUUAUUGGGCGUAAAGGGAGCGUAGGCGGUGCGAUAAGUCGGGUGUGAAACCUCCAGGCUCAACUUGGAGCUGGCAUCCGAAACUGCCGUGCUAGAGUGUGGGAGGGGAGAGUGGAAUUCCCGGUGUAGCGGUGGAAUGCGUAGAGAUCCGGAGGAACACCAGCGGCGAAGGUGGCGUCCUGGACUGGUACUGACGCUCAGGAGCGAAAGCGUGGGGAGCGAUCCGG
rnacentral:rRNA from 1 species